GCUCUGUCUCAGAACAAACAAAAGGCAAAAAAAUGAUGUUGCCUUUGUAAGAAGGACUUAAAGUCCUUAACACAAGGAAUUUACUGUAUUUAAGAGGUCGGUAAUGGUAAUGUAUAUUUGUAAUCUUUAUCUCUAUGUACCAACUUUAACCUACCUCACACAUAUAUGGUGUACUUCCCUGCAAAGAGCUAAAUUAUUAAAGGUACUUAGACCAGGGAAAGUCUGGAUAAUUUGGAACACAUUCUAAUGGGAGAGAGCUUAUAAUUUAAAUUUCUUCAGAGGAUCAGCGGGCUCAGGAGAAGUAAUCAAGAGAAUACAGUCAGACAUGAUCAACACCAAGACCCCCAUCUCUGCUAGAAAUAUUCCAACAUUUUGUCUAUUUUAAAUCACCUAGAGUAAGCUAAACCAGAACACAGAACUAUACUCUCCUGAACAAAAUUUCAAAAUGGCUUACAAAGAUAAUUUCAAAAUGACUUCCAGGAAACUUUUCAGUUGAAACAUACAUAAAAAUAUUGGAAAAGACCUACAUCGAGCAGGACAUCUCAGGCUUGAUCAGAAAACAACCUGUGUGGUCUCUUCUGGGGUCACCGGGUAAGGAAGAAAGGUGCAGCAGAUGGCAGGUGAAGCAGGCAGCCACAGCAUCGCCUGUCACUUGCCUUCGGACCCGGGCCACCACUGCCCUAUCUUCACAUCUCCCCUCUGGAGCCGAGUGUCCGCGGCAGCAACCACCACAGCAUCGCAGGACAGUGAGGAAAGCAGAGGCAGCCCAGGACGGGAGUGAGCAUGCUCUCUGCCCUCAUCCCCAGGUUUUGUCUCACUUUGCCCCUCCCGUGUUUAUCUUUUCCCCAUACAUUUACCCUGUCACAUCAUUUAACUGCAGUUUCUGUGCCCCUGCUGUUUACCCUUCCCCUUCCCCUUGUACUCCUCUUCAUCUCUCCAUUAUAGCCAAGCCUCUUGCCCUCCUGAGGCACAGGCCUCAUCACUCACUCACUUUGGCCCUUGACGUCCUGCUAUUGUAAUAAGCACAGCUGUUCACACUGUUUUAAGACAGCUACCCAAGGAUUUAGGGGUCCUAUCAACCUUUACAAUCUUUGUUACCAUUGAAAAAAGGUUUUAUUCUGCAGAAGAGAAAUCUUUUCCAGUGUGGUAUCUUAUACAUGGUUGUUUAUACUAAGUAAAUGCCCUGAUAAUCUAGAUUCGGAAGGACAGACCUCUAAACUUCAGAGAUAGACAAAGAUUAUAAGGAUUUUCACUGUAGGUCAUUUAGGAAAUUAAUAAUCUAGUGUUCAAAUUUGAGAAGCGGAAAGUAACCUCAGUGUGUGUACACCAUCGGCUUCACGGAAUCUGGGUGGCACCUGUGCCAGCAGUGUGGGUUCUUACCCUGCCCUCCUCCUUCCCCACCUGCCUCUCCUGCAGGAAAACAGAAAGAACUUCAGAAAUAAGAGUCAGUGGAGCACGGUGGCACACGCCUGCAAACUCAGCCCUCAGGAAGCUGAGGCAGGAAGAUCGCUGCGAGUUUGAUUCCUGGACUACACAGUUAGUCUAAGACCAGCCUAAACUACAUAGCUAGACUGACCCUGUCUUAAAAAAAAAAAAAAAAUCAAGAGCAAAAAAAAAUGUUAAAUAAUUACAAACCACGUAUCUCAGCUCCCAGUAACUGUCAGCUAAUUUUUAAAAAGGACUUCCCACACAACCUGAUAAACAGUAAUGGGUUAGGUCUCAC
ensembl:lincRNA